rnacentral:lncRNA from 1 species
AGUACUAACUUUCUCCGAGUGUGCACUAAACGUCGCACUCGGGGACUUAGCUGCGAUCAAGAAUCGCCUAAGUACUAACUUUCUCCGAGUAUGCACUAAACGUCGCACUCGGGGACUUAGCUGCGAUCAAGAAUCGCCUAAGUACAAAUUUUCUCCGAGCGUGCACUAACCGUCGGACUCGAGGACUUAACUGCGAUCAA